GAUGAACGCUGGCGGCGUGCCUAAUACAUGCAAGUCGAGCGAACAGACGAGGAGCUUGCUCCUCUGACGUUAGCGGCGGACGGGUGAGUAACACGUGGAUAACCUACCUAUAAGACUGGGAUAACUUCGGGAAACCGGAGCUAAUACCGGAUAAUAUAUUGAACCGCAUGGUUCAAUAGUGAAAGACGGUUUUGCUGUCACUUCUAGAUGGAUCCGCGCCGCAUUAGCUAGUUGGUAAGGUAACGGCUUACCAAGGCAACGAUGCGUAGCCGACCUGAGAGGGUGAUCGGCCACACUGGAACUUGGACACGGUCCAGACGCCUACGGGAGGCAGCAGUAGGGAAUCUUCCGCAAUGGGCGAAAGCCUGACGGAGCAACGCCGCGUGAGUGAUGAAGGUCUUCGGAUCGUAAAACUCUGUUAUUAGGUAAGAACAAAUGUGUAAGUAACUAUGCACGUCUUGACGGUACCUAAUCAGAAAGCCACGGCUAACUACGUG
rnacentral:rRNA from 1 species